rnacentral:rRNA from 1 species
AUGACAACGGAAAGCACACAAAAGAUGAUUGUGCAAUGGUGCAACCUAAUAGAAAAGGGUGACGGCCACCAAGCCAAGAUAGACAUGGGGUGCUACGCUGAAGAGUUGACUCUAGGAGUCAUUGAACGGGUGAUCUUCGGCGCGCACUACAAAGAAGCCCGGGAGGUGUUCACCGAGGGCAAGGAGAUCCAGAAGCUCGCGGUGCGUGCGUUUGCAGAUCCUCGAAUACCCGGACUUAGGUCGAUAACGAGCAAGAUAAUACGGCUCAUAAAGGAUCGGCUUGCGAGUGGUGUGGACGGAGAUGACCUAAUCGGGUUGAUGCUAUGGGCAAGCAAGUCAGAAGAAGUCAAGUCAUUGAGCAGCGAUGAGAUGAUCGGUGAGUGCAAGACCAACUUCGCCGCAGGGCAGGACACAGGUGCCACCCUCCUCAUCUGGGGGAUGUUCUUGCUCACCAUCUACCCAGAAUGGCAAGAGAGGCUCAGGGAGGAAGUGCUGAGAGAAUGCGGGGAUGAUGAUGGCGACGCCCGCUAUAGCAAUAUCAUCCAGCUUAACAUGUUCCUUCUGGAGACACUGAGGCUCUAA